rnacentral:rRNA from 1 species
UUUUCAGCAGCCGCGGUAAGACAGAGGGGGCAAGCGUUGUCCGGAGUUACUGGGCGUAAAGCGCGCGUAGGCGGUACGGUAAGUAAGGUGUGAAAGCCCCAGGCUUAACCUGGGGAGGUCAUCUUCGACUGCCGCACUCGAGUCGUGCAGAGGGUGGUGGAAUUGCCGGUGUAGUGGUGAAAUGCGUAGAGAUCGGCAGGAACACCAAGGGCGAAAGCAGCCACCUGGGCACGUACUGACGCUGAGGUGCGAAAGCGUGGGGAGCGAACCGGAUUAGAUACCCCUGUAGUCC